AUUGAACGCUGGCGGCAGGCCUAACACAUGCAAGUCGAACGAGUGGCGGACGGGUGAGUAAUGUCUGGGAAUCUGACUGAUGGAGGGGGAUAACUACUGGAAACGGUAGCUAAUACCGCAUACCAUCGGAUGAGCCCAAGUGGGAUUAGCUAGUUGGUGAGGUAACGGCUUACCAAGGCAACGAUCCCUAGCUGGCCUGAGAGGGUGAUCAGCCACACUGGAACUGAGACACGGCCCAGAAUCCUACGGGAGGCAGCAGUGGGGAAUCUUGCGCAAUGGGCGAAACCCUGACGGAGCAAUGCCGCGUGAAUGAUGAAGGUCUUCGGAUUGUAAAGCUCUUUCAGUAGCGAGGCGGUACCUACAGAAGAAGCCCCGGCUAACUACGUGCCAGCAGCCGCGGUAAUAC
rnacentral:rRNA from 1 species